rfam:Termitomyces sp. J132 unplaced genomic scaffold scaffold44, whole genome shotgun sequence.
CCGACCUUAGCUCAGUUGGUAGAGCGCAAGACUGUAAUGGUUAUCAUUUGUAUCUUGAUGUCGCCUGUUCGAUCCAGGCAGGUCGGA